rnacentral:rRNA from 1 species
AUGUAUUUUUUCGUCCCCCAAAAUGUAGGUUCUGAUGAUAAGUACAGAGUUGAAAUCAAAGAUAUUCUUGAAAUGGAAAUGAAGCUCCUGGAAGCACUCGACUAUUAUUUGGUUGUUUUCCACCCAUACCGUCCUCUUUUACAGUUAUUGCAGGAUGCUGGCAUAACAGAUCUGACACAAUUCGCCUGGGGCCUUGUGAACGAUACUUACAAAAUGGAUCUUAUUCUCAUAUAUCCUCCAUAUAUGAUUGCAUUGGCCUGCAUAUGCAUUGCAAGCGUUCUUAAAGAUGAGGACAUGACUUCCUGGUUUGAAGAACUCCAUGCUGACAUGAACAUUGUUAAGAAUAUUUCUGUGGAAAUCAAGGACUUUUACGACACCUACAAGAUUGAUCCUAACAGGUACCUACAGGAGGACAAGAUCAUUCCUGUGAUGAACAAGUUGCCAUCAAAUGCCUGA